UAGAAGGGAGGGUAGUCGUUGGAGGGGAGAGAGCGGAAGCGAACAUCCAAGGAGUCUGUACCAGGAAGCGGGAAGUCUCAGAGCCUCAGAGGACACCCAGUGUGGUUCCAGCACCCACAUGAAGGCUCACAACCGCUUUAAACUUGAGUUCUACGUGGUCCAGCGCCCUCUUCUGGUCUCCUUAGGUAAUGUAUGCAGCCAGACACACUCAGGCACAGGCACACAUAUGUAAAAGAAAUAUUUAAAAUAAUAAUAACAAUAAGCCAGAUGUCGUGGUGUACACCUUUGAUCCCAGCACUUAUGAAGCAGAGGCAGGAGGAUCUCUGUGAGUUUGAGGACAAGCUGAGCUGCAGAAUGAGUUCCAAGCCGGCAAAGACUUCAGAGUGAAACUGUCUUUAAAAAAAAAAAAAAAAAAAAAAAAAAGAUAGAAACAACACUAUGCAUUUGUGUGCAAUAGGAAGGAACCUAGAAGCAGAGCUCGAACUUGGAAGAAAUGUCUAUUUGCUGGAGCAUUUAAAAUUUAACCACGGGGUCCAAAGAGACAGCUCAUCGGUUUGCAAGCAUUUGCUCCUUGCACGGAGGAUCCAGCUCGUGUCCCCAGCUCCUACACCCACCUGUCACUUCAGUUCCAGGAGACCCAAUGCCCUUUUCUCAUCUCCUAGAGCCCCAGGUGUGCUUACCGACCUGGACAGGCAGACAUGCCGGCAAAACACUCAUCGCCCAUAAAAUGAAAUAUAUAAAUUUAAAAAUGUGUUGGGUUUAAUUGGAACCAAACCAGAUAAAAUUUAAUUAGGAAAGAACAGGAUUAUAAUUGUGUUUUCUGCCCUCUACAAGCCUUAUUUCAAAAUACAGUCUAAAAUACUGAUUCAUCGAUCUACAAACACAUAGAGUCUGUUUUAAAAAGUAAAUAAAUAGGGGCUGGAGAGACGGCUCAGUGGUUAGGAGCACUGACUGCUCUUCCAGAGUUCAAAUCCCAGCAACCCCAUGGUGGCUCACAACCAUCUGUAAUGAGAUCCGAUGACUUCUUCUGCUGUGUCUGAAGACAGCGACAGAGUAUUCAUAUGUAAUAAAUAAAUCUUUUUUUAAGUAAAUAAAAAAA